AGGGAAGGAGGGAGAGACAAAAUAAAGUUUGAAGGCAGUGAAAACAGUCUUAGGGUACAUGAACAAAGGGCAGGUAGAAAUGGCUGCUUCUCUCCACAACCUGGAGAAGCAGCCAUAUCCAGAACAACAGGUUUUGGGAGAAACAAGCCAUGGAUGCAUACUGAUUAUGACCCCCAUGGUGCUCAGGAGGCAUAUAUCGUUAACUACUGAAGGGGCGUUCUUUCAGAUUCAGUCACUCAGCUAUCUUAAUCCUCUGUAAAUAUACAAACAAACACAUCGUUUCCUUACAGAAAUAAAAUCAUAUGGGGAAGAUAUGAGAACCACCUCCAUCUGGAAACACACACACACACACACACAAAGUACUUCCAAGUUAUUUUUAUGAAGAAUUUGUAGAUUUUUUUAAAUCAAAAGGUAGUCUUUGAUCACCUUGACUUUAAACCUCAAACUCUUUCUAUUCAACUUCAAGUUUGGGGUUUGUGUUUAAUGGAGUUGGUACAAAAGAAUAAGAAACUCACAAAAUCUAUUUAGAGUUUGAAUUCUGGAUAAAAUGGCCCUGUUUCUAAAUUAGGUAUGAGCCCUUACCCUGGACAUAAGGAGCUUUUGUUGUGUAGACUUGAAGAAUUUCCCAGCCGGGGCAAUGCCAGUUCAUAGAUUCAGACAGAUGGAUUUUGAUGGGAGUCUGCAAUGUGCACACUCCCUUAGCAAAUGUUUUUGAAUAUUCUCAAGUAACAUGCUUAGCUUGAAAAUAAAUAUGGGAUUGCUUAUUUUAGAGUCAGUGGUAAUUAUUAUCAUUAGUAAAGAUUAAAAAUGCAUGUUCUGUUUUUGCAUCAUAGAGUGCUAAGUUCGGAUGUCAUUUUAUAGCUGUAGACUCUUCACGGUGUUGAACACACAUAGCAACCACUUUGAAUCUGAAACUUGGUGUUUGGCCGUUGUGAAGGAUUGUGUUUGUUUGUUUGUUUGUUUGUUUGUUUGUUUUUGCUUCCCUUGGUCCAAUAUCAGUGUUCACCAGCAAUGGAAAAAGCUUCAUGAAAUUGCCCAGAAGAAUCCAAGGUCUGGUCUGGUGUUUUUCCUCAAUGGAGUCUGUGAAGGCCAUGGAACUAAACCACAGGGGAAUUAUACUGGACCAGUGAUCAGUGGACCCAGGGAGGUAGGGAGGGAGAACUUCUAACCGAGACAUUUGGUACCCAGAGACUCUUGAGAUCGUCAGCUGCACCUCUUCCCAUGGUUGCCCCUAAAUAUCAUUUUCUCCCGGUUUUAAACAAAUUGAAUACCAGAGAAUCCAGCUGAAAAUGUAGAAAACCGAGAGAGCAGGCAGCUGGAAAUAGGGAUUUGAAGCUGAUACAAUUAGAACGUAAGAACAUGUGUUAAUAUUCAGAGUGCCUCUUUAGGGAAAGGUACCUUGCUGGAUUCUAUAGCAUAGGUGGAAAAGUCUUCAUCAGUCUCAUGUGCCCUUGUAAGAUAAACUGCGUAAGUGCAGUAGGAGAGAAAGGUCCCAUGGAAGAGUGCAGGGGUGUAGUGGUUUAUACACAGGGCUGCAGAAGGCAUCCUUGCAGAACAGCACUCGAGUGUGAGUUCACCCUGAGGAAGGUUUAGAAAGAGCUCACGCAGCAAUGGCCAGCAUCUCCGCAGAAGCUCCGCAGCAAAGAAACGUGGGGCUGGACUCCACCACCAAGAACCGAUGUGCAAUUGGAUUGCUGGGCAGGCACCAUUAAUCCACUGCAGGUCUCCUUACUUCCUAUUGUCGGGCUCCACAUGGUAGUUCUGGCGGGAGGUGUUCAGUGUCUUCGGCCAGCCAGAAGACCUGAGUUUAAUUCCCGGUAAAUACGAAGUGGGAAGGGAAAAGCAACUCCUGAGCAAAAGUUCCUACCUGUGUCUGCAUCCAGAGUUCCUACCUGUGUCUGCAUCUGUAUUAUUUCAAGGUUUCUUUUAAAUCAGUGUGGCGGGUUAAUAAAUUUAUACUAGGGCUUCCUCACAAUGGGCUGGCAACUGUAACUAGUUAAUAACUGUAGCAUUAGAAUACUAUUAUAAUAGUAACUGUAUCUAGAGAUAGUGGGUAUCUCUAGAGACCUUGUGGUUGCGUAUCCUUUCAAAAACAUUCUUCAGAUAAUUGGGAGUGUAAGGUAUGUUUUAUGCUUUUGCAGACAGCCAUUUCUUCCUUUUUAAGUUAUGGACAGCUUGACUUGUAAAGAGAAAAUGCAUCAGGUCUUUUUGAGUGAACAUAGAGGGCUUUCCAGAACCUUCUGCAUCCUGGGCUGGCACGUUUGCGGCUUCUGCAGUGCAUCUGUGAGGUGAACAGCUGUCGGGGUCUCUCUGCAAGCCUAGCAUUUGUUGCUUUUUUCAGAUAGCUGACAUUUUGAUGAGCAGGUGCAAGUUUCUAAGUUUUAUUUGAAGAAAAUAAGAUUUUUUUCCUAGCUAUAAAGUGUAAUUUCUGGUUUAUUUGUUGGGAAAUGAAAACAUCAGAUGCAUUUUGAUGUAUUUGUGGCAUUGUGAGGUUCUCAGCCAAACUCUGUAAGAACACCGGCAGGAGGUUCCUCUAGCUGUAGUUCAAGGUCUUACUGAGCAUAUUGUUUCCGACUUGUGUUACUAAGAUGCCAGGCUGUUUAUUUGUGUUCUGUGUACAUCAGGAGGAAAAACAAGCCAUUCUUGUUGGCUUUCACGUGGUUUGAAUCAUUAUAUAAAUGAAGAUCUCAGAUAAGGCCAUGAAUAGUUAUGUAAAAUUGGUAAAUGAAGAAGAUAUUGAAAUGGGAUACAGUGUUUUUCUGGGAGUCACAUACAUGCUAGUCUCGACACUUUGAUUAACGAGCGGUGAAUUGAUGGGGUCUGCUGCCAAACACCUGCUUUAUUCAGAACAUUCUUCUGCUCACGUGUCAUAGCAGCC
rnacentral:lncRNA from 1 species